rnacentral:rRNA from 1 species
AGGUAGUAAUAUUUAACAAAACCUAUAUAUUAUGGCGGCAUCUUAUCUUAUUAAAGGAACUUGUUAUAUAAUCGAUAAUCCACGAUAAAUUUCACUUAAUUUAUAAAAUUUAUAUACCGCCAUCUAAUGAUUUAAUCUAAAGAUUUUUUUCAUAAAAAUAAAUAAAAAAUUAGGUCAAGGUGUAAUCAAAUUUUAAGAAAUAAAUGAGUUACAUUAAAUUAAAUUUAAGAAUUAAUUAAUUAAAAUUAAUUAUGAAAAAGGAUUUAUUAGUAAAUUUAAAAUAAUAAUUUUCUAUGAAUAAGAAAAGAAAUGUGC